rnacentral:rRNA from 1 species
UACGGAGGAUGCGAGCGUUAUCCGGAUUUAUUGGGUUUAAAGGGUGCGUAGGCGGACGCUUAAGUCAGCGGUAAAAUUGCGGGGCUCAACCUCGUCGAGCCGUUGAAACUGGGUGUCUUGAGUGGGCGAGAAGUACGCGGAAUGCGUGGUGUAGCGGUGAAAUGCAUAGAUAUCACGCAGAACCCCGAUUGCGAAGGCAGCGUACCGGCGCCCAACUGACGCUGAAGCACGAAGGCGUGGGUAUCGAACAGG